GUGUGUGGCCACCGUUAAAGCACUCAGUGAAACAGACGUUACAUUUACAGAGGGAGAGAUGCUGUUGUCAUUUCUAAGCCACUCGUCCGACAGCUGUUAAAAUUAUUCCAGCGACAGCUCAUUAUAUUCUUUACAAGCGUACAAUAGCAUUUUGGUGAGAAUUUUCCAGAAAAAAGUUAUUCGUGAUGGAGUUCAAGCGUGAUAGUGUGAUUUAUUUAUAUUUGGUUGGAAAACCACAAGUGGCUAUCGUUAGAGAACUGCAGCAUUUAAAUGUGAAUAAAUCUUUUGUGUCUCGUACCAUCGCUCGUUACCGUGAUACUGGUAGCUUAGCCCGACGUCAAGGAAGUGGACAACAACAUCAGCAGCAUUGAAAAACAAACAAAGCUCUUGGGAGGGUGGUGUGCAAAUAUGAUAUACUUCAAGUCCGCAACGAAGAUUUCCAACUUGUCAGUCGGUGGGAGCCAACUUCUAAGAACUGUCACACAACUUUGGAGCCGUUUUCGAACAUCACCAUGUUAGUGAAGAACCUGUCCUGCAUAUUCCAAUAUUUGGUUAUAGUUACUGUUUUGAUUGGAUGUUUCAUCAAACUCGAAGUGAGUGGCAUUGGAAGUAAUCUUCUACCAUUAACUCGCCCAAACUGUGGCUUGUUUAGUUGUGGCGUAUUAUCGCAUACAAGAGACAAAAAAAAUAAUAAAACGACCUUUCCCUUCAGUUUUUUCUUUAUUUCAAAAUAAUAAUUAAAAUGCAAGUUUUGACACUAUAA